rnacentral:rRNA from 1 species
UACGGAGGGGGCUAGCGUUGUUCGGAAUUACUGGGCGUAAAGCGCGCGUAGGUGGACCUGCAAGUCGGGGGUGAAAGCCCGAGGCUCAACCUCGGAACUGCCUUCGAUACUGCGGGUCUCGAGUCCGGGAGAGGUGAGUGGAAUUCCUAGUGUAGAGGUGAAAUUCGUAGAUAUUAGGAAGAACACCAGUGGCGAAGGCGGCUCACUGGCCCGGUACUGACGCUGAGGCGCGAAAGCGUGGGGAGCAAACAGG